UGCUGAGUCGUAUUUUGACAGUUCCGCCGAUAGACUCUCCCGGACUGUAAACCACCUUAUUGUUGGCGAAAGUGAUGUGAAAUUCUUGUAGCUUUCCCAUGGCUGCGCUCCGCUACUCGGUCGCUUUUGCACGGAGACGCGACGCCUGCUUGACUCGCUCUCACCUGCUGCCUCGAGGAGAACACUGACGUCAAUUGACUAAACGAAAUCAACCGGGGGCGUCCCUGUCACAUGUGAGCCAGCCCUCAUUCCGCCCCACAUAACUGCUGGGCCAAUGGUGAGGCUGCUUUUAUUACCAUGAUGACCGGGGGCGGAGCGUGAGUUUCGCAAGCUGCCUAUAGUCAUCUCGCAGGGUCGCGGGCGUGCUGGAGCCUAUCCCAGCCAUCUUCCGGCAAGAGGCAAGCUCUUCCGGGGGGAUCCCGAGGCGUUCCCAGGCCAGCCGAAGGACGUAGUCUCUCCAGCGUGUCCUGGGUCGUCCCCGGUGGGACAUGCCUGGAACCAGGGAGGCGUCCGGGAGGCAUCAGAAUCAGGCACCCAGGCGACCCACAGCUCGUGACCAUAGCAAAGGCGUCCUGCGUGCAUUCAGGUCCUGGCGGCGGAGUACAUUACUCCUUGUUUUCCUUGUCACAACAGUACCUGCUAAUUCCAGCUCUUUUUGAAGCUCUCCACAGCCCUUCACUUCUUCAUCAUCAUCAAGCAAG